ACGGGUGAGUAACACGUGGGCAACCUGCCCUUGAGACUGGGAUAACUUCGGGAAACCGGAGCUAAUACCGGAUAAUAUAAGGAACCUCCUGGUUCCUUGUUGAAAGAUGGUUUCGGCUAUCACUUAAGGAUGGGCCCGCGGCGCAUUAGCUAGUUGGUGAGGUAACGGCUCACCAAGGCGACGAUGCGUAGCCGACCUGAGAGGGUGAUCGGCCACACUGGGACUGAGACACGGCCCAGACUCCUACGGGAGGCAGCAGUAGGGAAUCUUCCUCAAUGGACGAAAGUCUGAUGGAGCAACGCCGCGUGAGUGAUGAAGGCCUUCGGGUCGUAAAGCUCUGUUGUUAGGGAAGAACAAGUGCGAGAGUAACUGCUCGCUCCUUGACGGUACCUAACCAGAAAGCCACGGCUAACUACGUGCCAGCAGCCGCGGUAAUACGUAGGUGGCAAGCGUUAUCCGGAAUUAUUGGGCGUAAAGCGCGCGCAGGUGGUUUCUUAAGUCUGAUGUGAAAGCCCACGGCUCAACCGUGGAGGGUCAUUGGAAACUGGGGAACUUGAGUGCAGAAGAGGAAAGUGGAAUUCC
rnacentral:rRNA from 1 species